GCUAGUGCAAGUUUGAGGAAGCUCUUCCUGCAUCAUACAGUUGGUUUUAACUUAUUCUUGCAUAAUGAUACGGCAGAACAUUGUCUUUGAGCUUCAGAGAUGUAUAAUUUGGUUUUUUCCUCUCUGAGGAGAAAGUAACAAGAAGUAUGUGAUUAGAAGGAAGUUGGAGCACAUCUUAUCAUAAGUUGCAUUGCCCUGUGAAGAUUUGUCUAAGGAGCACAAAAUGACAGGCAAAACUCAAUAAUCCAGAGUGUUCUGAUAUAAAGGCCAUAAACACAUGCUUAAACCUAACUGAAUCUUGUAGAUUAUUUUGGUUGUCAUAAAAAUGGUGAAGAUGGAAAAUCUGCCAGGUAAGUUAAGUGGAAUUGAGAAUCGGCUGGGUCUGGUGAAUUUUAUUUGAGGAGUGACCUAACGAGCAAUGAGCAAUGCCAGGGAUAUGUUGGCACACAUGGUGAAGUGCAUGCAAGAUGAUGCUAAACUCACAGGGUAGUGACACUUUAGAUGGAGCACCUGUGGGUGACUUUUAUUUUGGUUUCCUUCUGUUGUUGAGCACGGACAACAUCAGAUUCCAAGGCAACUGCCUGAAUGAUUAACACAAAGAUAUGUCUCUAAAAUGUGGCA
rnacentral:lncRNA from 1 species